GGGCCCGCACAGGCGGUGGAGCAUGUGGUUCAAUUCGACGCAACGCGAAGAACCUUACCUGGGCUCGAAGCGCAGUGGACCGGGGUGGAAACAUCCCUUCCCCUUAAAAGGCUGCUGCGGAGGUGCUGCAUGGCUGUCGUCAGCUCGUGUCGUGAGAUGUUGGGUUAAGUCCCGCAACGAGCGCAACCCUUAUCCCUAGUUGCCAUCGGGUCAAGCCGGGCACUCUAGUGAAACUGCCUCAGAUAAUGAGGAGGAAGGUGGGGAUGACGUCAAGUCCUCAUGGCCUUUAUGUCCAGGGCUACACACGUGCUACAAUGGCCGGUACAAACCGUCGCAAACCCGCGAGGGGGAGCUAAUCGGAAAAAGCCGGCCUCAGUUCGGAUUGGAGUCUGCAACUCGACUCCAUGAAGCUGGAAUCGCUAGUAAUCGCGGAUCAGAACGCCGCGGUGAAUACGUUCCCGGGCCUUGUACACACCGCCCGUCACAUCACGAAAGUGGGCCGUACUAGAAGCUGGUGUGCUAACCGCAAGGGGGCAGCCAUCCAAGGUACAGCUCAUGAUUGG
rnacentral:rRNA from 1 species